rnacentral:sRNA from 12 species
CCCUACGUGACUGAUGACAGGCAACACGUAGCGAGAACGUGCGAGGGG